GAGUGAUUUGUGGAUAGCCUGUGUAGAGCACGGUAAGGUGUCGGCCAACUCAUGCAGUUGGCUUAAGGGACGUGCCAUUCCCAUCCGAAAGGGUGGCUGCCAGCAAUAGCGCCCAUCACGCAAAGGCUGGCAGGUUCGAACGUAGCGGUUUGAAGAUUAUAAUAGGCCAGCAGCCGCGGUAAUUCCAGCUCCAAUAGCGUAUAUUAAAGUUGUUGCAGUUAAAAAGCUCGUAGUUGAAACUUGGGUCUGGCUGGCAGGUCCGCCUCACCGCGUGUACUUGUCCGGCCGGGCCUUCCUUCUGGAGAACCUCAUGCCCUUCACUGGGCGUGUUGGGGACCAGGACUUUUACUUUGAAAAAAUUAGAGUGUUCAAAGCAGGCCUUUGCUCGAAUACGUUAGCAUGGAAUAAUAGAAUAGGACGUGCGGUCCUAUUUUGUUGGUUUCUAGGACCGCCGUAAUGAUUAAUAGGGACAGUCGGGGGCAUCAGUAUUCAAUUGUCAGAGGUGAAAUUCUUGGAUUUAUUGAAGACUAACUACUGCGAAAGCAUUUGCCAAGGAUGUUUUCAUUAAUCAGUGAACGAAAGUUAGGGGAUCGAAGACGAUCAGAUACCGUCGUAGUCUUAACCGUAAACUAUGCCGACUAGGGAUCGGGCGAUGUUCUUUUUCUGACUCGCUCGGCACCUUACGAGAAAUCAA
rnacentral:rRNA from 1 species